AGAGUUUGAUCCUGGCUCAGGAUGAACGCUAGCUACAGGCUUAACACAUGCAAGUCGAGGGGCAGCAUCAUCAAAGCUUGCUUUGAUGGAUGGCGACCGGCGCACGGGUGAGUAACACGUAUCCAACCUGCCGACAACACUGGGAUAGCCUUUCGAAAGAAAGAUUAAUACCGGAUGGCAUAGUUUUCCCGCAUGGGAUAAUUAUUAAAGAAUUUCGGUUGUCGAUGGGGAUGCGUUCCAUUAGGCAGUUGGCGGGGUAACGGCCCACCAAACCAACGAUGGAUAGGGGUUCUGAGAGGAAGGUCCCCCACAUUGGAACUGAGACACGGUCCAAACUCCUACGGGAGGCAGCAGUGAGGAAUAUUGGUCAAUGGACGAGAGUCUGAACCAGCCAAGUAGCGUGAAGGAUGACUGCCCUAUGGGUUGUAAACUUCUUUUAUACGGGAAUAAAGUUAGCCACGUGUGGCUUUUUGUAUGUACCGUAUGAAUAAGGAUCGGCUAACUCCGUGCCAGCAGCCGCGGUAAUACGGAGGAUCCGAGCGUUAUCCGGAUUUAUUGGGUUUAAAGGGAGCGUAGGCGGGUUGUUAAGUCAGUUGUGAAAGUUUGCGGCUCAACCGUAAAAUUGCAGUUGAUACUGGCGACCUUGAGUGCAACAGAGGUAGGCGGAAUUCGUGGUGUAGCGGUGAAAUGCUUAGAUAUCACGAAGAACUCCGAUUGCGAAGGCAGCUUACUGGAUUGUAACUGACGCUGAUGCUCGAAAGUGUGGGUAUCAAACAGGAUUAGAUACCCUGGUAGUCCACACAGUAAACGAUGAAUACUCGCUGUUGGCGAUAUACGGUCAGCGGCCAAGCGAAAGCAUUAAGUAUUCCACCUGGGGAGUACGCCGGCAACGGUGAAACUCAAAGGAAUUGACGGGGGCCCGCACAAGCGGAGGAACAUGUGGUUUAAUUCGAUGAUACGCGAGGAACCUUACCCGGGCUUAAAUUGCAACUGACUGAACCGGAAACGGUUCUUUCUUCGGACAGUUGUGAAGGUGCUGCAUGGUUGUCGUCAGCUCGUGCCGUGAGGUGUCGGCUUAAGUGCCAUAACGAGCGCAACCCUUAUCGAUAGUUACUAGCAGGUCAUGCUGAGGACUCUAUUGAGACUGCCGUCGUAAGAUGUGAGGAAGGUGGGGAUGACGUCAAAUCAGCACGGCCCUUACGUCCGGGGCUACACACGUGUUACAAUGGGGGGUACAGAAGGCAGCUACACGGCGACGUGGUGCUAAUCCCGAAAGCCUCUCUCAGUUCGGAUUGGAGUCUGCAACCCGACUCCAUGAAGCUGGAUUCGCUAGUAAUCGCGCAUCAGCCACGGCGCGGUGAAUACGUUCCCGGGCCUUGUACACACCGCCCGUCAAGCCAUGAAAGCCGGGGGUACCUGAAGUACGUAACCGCGAGGAGCGUCCUAGGGUAAAACUGGUGAUUGGGGCUAAGUCGUAACAAGGUAGCCGUACCGGAAGGUGCGGCUG
rnacentral:rRNA from 1 species